AACGAACGCUGGCGGCAUGCCUAACACAUGCAAGUCGAACGAGACCUUCGGGUCUAGUGGCGCACGGGUGCGUAACGCGUGGGAACCUGCCCUUAGGUUCGGAAUAACUCCCCGAAAGGGGUGCUAAUACCGGAUAAUGUCUUCGGACCAAAGAUUUAUCGCCUUUGGAUGGGCCCGCGUUGGAUUAGCUAGUUGGUAGGGUAAAAGCCUACCAAGGCGACGAUCCAUAGCUGGUCUGAGAGGAUGAUCAGCCACACUGGGACUGAGACACGGCCCAGACUCCUACGGGGGGCAGCAGUGGGGAAUAUUGGACAAUGGGCGAAAGCCUGAUCCAGCAAUGCCGCGUGAGUGAUGAAGGCCUUAGGGUUGUAAAGCUCUUUUACCCGGGAUGAUAAUGACAGUACCGGGAGAAUAAGCUCCGGCUAACUCC
rnacentral:rRNA from 1 species